rnacentral:rRNA from 1 species
GUAGGUGGCAAGCGUUGUCCGGAAUUAUUGGGCGUAAAGCGCGCGCAGGCGGUUCUUUAAGUCUGAUGUGAAAGCCCACGGCUCAACCGUGGAGGGUCAUUGGAAACUGGAGAACUUGAGUACAGAAGAGGAAAGCGGAAUUCCACGUGUAGCGGUGAAAUGCGUAGAGAUGUGGAGGAACACCAGUGGCGAAGGCGGCUUUCUGGUCUGUAACUGACGCUGAGGCGCGAAAGCGUGGGGAGCAAACAGGAUUAGAUACCCUGGUAGUCCACGCCGUAAACGAUGAGUGCUAAGUGUUAGGGGGUUUCCGCCCCCCUUAGUGCUGCAGCUAACGCAUUAACGCACUCCGCCUGGGAGUACGGCCGCAAGGCUG